rnacentral:lncRNA from 1 species
AUUUAGGAUUUUCGUCAGCCACAAUGCUUGGUUCACAGCAGCUGCUGUAGCAACAAACUCUACUUCAGCUGUGGAUUGAGCUACUGUUUUUUGCUUUUUGAAACUCCAUGAAAAAACACCUGAUCCAAAGCUAAAACAGUAUCCUGACAUACUUCUCAUAUCAUCAAUCGAGCCACCCCAGUCCCUGUCAGAAAAACCAGCUAGCUUGAACUUUUCAUUAUUCCUGAAUU